UCCCUGAGCUGCAGAAGUAGGUCAGAAACUUAAGAGAGAGACUGUAGCGUUUCUAUCUGAGUAGCAAGUGCUUCCACGGACGAUCCCUGAUUUACAGCUGCUGAGUGUCUUCCCAUUUCUCUUGGUCACUUCAGUCCCAUGGUCACUUUGGCUAACAUCCAAAGACAAACUGGUCUCCUGCUCCACCUGUGCAUUGACUACAUUCCAGCUGGAAGCUGGAAAGAUGUGCUGGACCAUGGGAGGAAGGAGGGCGCUCCUGCAGCCAUUGCUGUCUGCCUUUUUGAAUACCUGCAGCAACAAAAUGAGAUAAUCUCACACCUUGUUUCGCUUCUUCUGUUAUUGGCUGCCUUCGUCACUAUCAAAAUCCAGUCAGCAGAAUGAGCUUCAGUAAAAUGGGAAAGUGAUGCAAAUGAAGAGUUCGAUGUAUUUUUGGAAUAAGUUCCCAGCAGUAUCUUGACGGAAGUCACCUUCUACAUGUCCUGAAAUAACACACAAUUCAAAACGA